CCUUACCCCGUAAACACCAUCCAUCCAACAACAACAUCCCUGGGCCGAUCUGCAAAUCUCCUUCUCAAACGACGCAGCCGAGAAAGAAAGAAAAAAAAGAAACACAGCGCAAGGAGGGAGGAGCUUACGACGAAAGAGGAGAAGACAAGCGGAGAGUAUAAAAAUGGUGAAGGUGUUGACAUACUUUGGGAUGACAUUGGCUGCUUUCGCCUUCUGGCAAUCCAUGGACAAAGUUCACGUCUGGAUCGCUCUUCAUCAAGACGAGAAGCAAGAAAGAAUGGAGAAAGAAGCGGAGGUAAAGCGGGUUAGAGCAGAGCUGCUGCGGAAAGCUAGAGAGGAGGAUCCUCUUGCCUGAUCAUCAUCUUCUUCUUCUUCAGUCAUGUUUUUUUAUUUCUAUAAUCAAAAUUCACUUCUCUCAUGACACUAUUUUUUCACCGUUAUGGACCAAAAUGGAGUUUGCAUAAAACGACAGUACCAUAUAUGCUGUUGAAUGUGGGAUGAUCAUGAAUAAUAACUUCCUCUUUGUUGUUCUUCUCAA